AUGAACGCUGGCGGCGUGCCUAAUACAUGCAAGUCGAGCGAACAGACGAGGAGCUUGCUCCUCUGACGUUAGCGGCGGACGGGUGAGUAACACGUGGAUAUCCUACCUAUAAGACUGGGAUAACUUCGGGAAACCGGAGCUAAUACCGGAUAAUAUAUUGAACCGCCUGGUUCAAUAGUGAAAGACGGUUUUGCUGUCACUUAUAGAUGGAUCCGCGCCGCAUUAGCUAGUUGGUAAGGUAACGGCUUACCAAGGCGACGAUGCGUAGCCGACCUGAGAGGGUGAUCGGCCACACUGGAACUGAGACACGGUCCAGACUCCUACGGGAGGCAGCAGUAGGGAAUCUUCCGCAAUGGGCGAAAGCCUGACGGAGCAACGCCGCGUGAGUGAUGAAGGUCUUCGGAUCGUAAAACUCUGUUAUUAGGGAAGAACAAAUGUGUAAGUAACUAUGCACGUCUUGACGGUACCUAAUCAGAAAGCCACGGCUAACUACGUG
rnacentral:rRNA from 1 species